AGGUGACUGCGGAGGAUCAUUACCGAGUGAGGGCCCUCUGGGUCCAACCUCCCACCCGUGUUUAUUUUACCUUGUUGCUUCGGCGGGCCCGCCUUAACUGGCCGCCGGGGGGCUUACGCCCCCGGGCCCGCGCCCGCCGAAGACACCCUCGAACUCUGUCUGAAGAUUGUAGUCUGAGUGAAAAUAUAAAUUAUUUAAAACUUUCAACAACGGAUCUCUUGGUUCCGGCAUCGAUGAAGAACGCAGCGAAAUGCGAUACGUAAUGUGAAUUGCAAAUUCAGUGAAUCAUCGAGUCUUUGAACGCACAUUGCGCCCCCUGGUAUUCCGGGGGGCAUGCCUGUCCGAGCGUCAUUGCUGCCCUCAAGCACGGCUUGUGUGUUGGGCCCCGUCCUCCGAUCCCGGGGGACGGGCCCGAAAGGCAGCGGCGGCACCGCGUCCGGUCCUCGAGCGUAUGGGGCUUUGUCACCCGCUCUGUAGGCCCGGCCGGCGCUUGCCGAUCAACCCAAAUUUUUAUCCAGGUUGACCUCGGAUCAGGUAGGGAUACCCGCUGAACUUAAGCAUAUCAAUAAGCAGGAGGAA
rnacentral:rRNA from 1 species